UGAACGCUGGCGGCGUGCCUAACACAUGCAAGUCGAACGAGAACGGGUAUAAGUUUACUUAUACUGUCAGCUAAGUGGCGCACGGGUGAGUAAUAUAUAGUUAACCUGCCCCAAAGAAGAGAAUAAUUGUUGGAAACGACUUGUAAUACUCUAUAUGCCUUUAUCACAUAAGUGAGCAAGGGAAACAUUUAUGGCUUUGGGAUGGGACUGUACGGUAUCAGUUUGUUGGUGAGGUAAUGGCUCACCAAGACUAUGACGCCUAACUGGUUUGAGAGGAUGAUCAGUCACACUGGAACUGAGACACGGUCCAGACUCCUACGGGAGGCAGCAGUGGGGAAUAUUGCACAAUGGAGGAAACUCUGAUGCAGCAACGCCGCGUGGAGGAUGACACAUUUCGGUGCGUAAACUCCUUUUAUAUGAGAAGAUAAUGACGGUAUCAUAUGAAUAAGCACCGGCUAACUCC
rnacentral:rRNA from 1 species